AAACAAAGAAAUAAAUUUCCCAAAACAAACCUUUUGUGUUGCCGAGGUCUCUGGGACACCAAGCUUGAUGCAAUAUUACAUAAGAAUGAAAUUAAGGUAAUAGCUUACAUUUUAUUCACUGCCUUUCUUUGAAAAAUCAGAGUCUUCUUAAGUAUAGCACCUCAUUUUCAACCCAAUAACAUUUUUGAUGAGGUAAAGAAAAAUGAGUACUGUUUUAAUUGACCCAUUUUAUAGGUGCAGAAAAUAGAAUGCAGAGAGUGAUUUGACCAAAGUCACAGGGGCCAGCUUUCUUCUGCCACCUGCAUUCCUGGGAUCUGGGAUCCAGAAAUUCCUCAGUACUCUUUCUUUCCUGGGAUUCCUCUAGAGACUUGGGGUCUCCAGGAGACACUUAACUACCAAUUCAGUGUGAUAAUUGAAAGAAUACCCGAUUUAAGGUCAGAAGACUGAGUUGCAUCCCACCUCAGACAAGGGAUAUAGAAGAUUGAGGAAAUCAUUUAAUCUUUCUCAUCCUUAGUUUUGCAGCAGCAGAAGCAGCAGCAACAACAACAAAUUGUUGAAAGGAAAUACCAGUUACCAUUAAGGAAUGUUAUGAGAAAAUGAGCUAAUUUUUGAAAUUCAGAGUUACAUAAACACGAGGUUGCAUGUCAAUCAUUCAUAGAGAAGAAUAAUUAAGUUCAAGAAAUUCCUUCACCUUUCUGGUUACAAGUGUCUUUUUAAAAAUAUUAUUCUUGCAGAACAUUUACC
rnacentral:lncRNA from 1 species